rnacentral:lncRNA from 1 species
CUGAACUCUGAUCUGCUUGAUGGCAAACUUAAAGCCCUUCCAUUGUUGCAUGCUUUUUGAAGGGAGAAAUGGGACACGUGUAAACUUGGGCCAGGACCAUGGGGUAGAUGGAAGAUGGGCGAAGAUAGAGUAUUGGAGUGGGAAGUGGCCAAGCAGGAAUGUUUCAAUCAUGGAAGAUUUCCUGAGAAAAGGGAUUCCACAUCAGGGUUCAGAUGGUAGGGGAAUGAGGAUAGGAAGUAAAGAAGAGGGAGGGAGCCAUGCAUUGACAAGGAAGGAGAAGAAAAAACAAUUUAUGCAAAGGCUGGGUCAGAGUAAUGGACAUGAGUUCAAUUUGCCUUGGGUUUGCCUUACCAUUUAUUGAAGGCAUACUAUGUACUAGGUACAUACAUGAUCACAUUUGAUGUUCACAACAGCCCUGACAAGUGGGUUUCAUUUUCCUCCCUCUGUUGUUACUGAGUUGGGGCUGCUCCCUCCUUUAUCAAUUCUCCCUUUUUAUCAUGAUUGCUAUGUUGGAAACUUGCUGACUCUUCAGACUAGGGGAUUCAGAUCCUUCCACAGUGGAAGGAAGGUCUGUGAAGACUCCAGGGUCGAGGGAAAGUUAUGUUCUUGGAGGUAUGACUGAGCCCAGAAUCCAGGCCUCCAGUGUCCAUCUCCUUGCCUGGCCCAUUUCAGUCUUCAGACAUGCUUUGAGGUCAAUCCAGUCACUCACCCAGCAACAGACACUGCCUCUGCCCUCAUGGACCUUGCAGUUCUAGUGGUGAGAGUAAGAUGAAUACAAGUGAACAAAAUGAUGGCAAGUUGUUCAAGCUUGUUCAAACUUCUAAACACUGUUCAAUGAAUGAAUGAACCAACAAGAACUUACUAUGUGCUCUGGAAAGAAAAUGUGAAAAAUGUCGAGUUGUAAAUCACUUUCUGCUACCGCUACCUUUCC